rnacentral:rRNA from 1 species
AUGGGGUGACUGCGUACCUUUUGUAUAAUGGGUCAGCGACUUAUAUUCUGUAGCAAGGUUAACCGUAUAGGGGAGCCGUAGGGAAACCGAGUCUUAACUGGGCGAAUGAGUUGCAGGGUAUAGACCCGAAACCCGGUGAUCUAUCCAUGGGCAGGUUGAAGGUUGGGUAACACUAACUGGAGGACCGAACCGACUAAUGUUGAAAAAUUAGCGGAUGACUUGUGGAUGGGGGUGAAAGGCCAAUCAAACCGGGAGAUAGCUGGUUCUCCCCGAAAGCUAUUUAGGUAGCGCCUCGUGAACUCAUCUUCGGGGGUAGAGCACUGUUUCGACUAGGGGGUCAUCCCGACUUACCAACUCGAUGCAAACUGCGAAUACCGAAGAAUGUUAUCACGGGAGACACACGGCGGGUGCUAACGUCCGUCGUGAAGAGGGAAACAACCCAGACCGCCAGCUAAGGUCCCAAAGUCAUGGUUAAGUGGGAAACGAAGUGGGAAGGCUCAGACAGCCAGGAUGUUGGCUUAGAAGCAGCCAUCAUUUAAAGAAAGCGUAAUAGCUCACUGGUCGAGUCGGCCCGCGCGGAAGAUGUAACGGGGCUAAACCAUGCACCGAAGCUGCGGCAGCGACACAUAGUGUUGUUGGGUAGGGGAGCGUUCUGUAAGCCUGCGAAGGUGUACUGUGAGGUAUGCUGGAGGUAUCAGAAGUGCGAAUGCUGACAUAAGUAACGAUAAUGCGGGUGAAAAACCCGCACGCCGGAAGACCAAGGGUUCCUGUCCAACGUUAAUCGGGGCAGGGUGAGUCGACCCCUAAGGCGAGGCUGAAAAGCGUAGUCGAUGGGAAACGGGUUAAUAUUCCCGUACUGGUGGUAACUGCGAUGGGGGAACGGAGAAGGCUAGGUUGUCCGGGCGACGGUCGUCCCGGUUCAAGCAGGUAGGCAGAGUGAUUAGGCAAAUCCGGUCACUUAAUGCUGAGAUGUGAUGACGAACCACCAAGGUGGUGAAGCAAUUGAUGCCCCGCUUCCAGGAAAAGCCUCUAAGCUUCAGGUUACCAACAAUCGUACCCCAAACCGACACAGGUGGUCAGGUAGAGAAUACUCAGGCGCUUGAGAGAACUCGGGUGAAGGAACUAGGCAAAAUGGUGCCGUAACUUCGGGAGAAGGCACGCUGGCGGUAGGUAAAGUCCCUUGCGGACAGAGCUGAAGCCAGUCGAAGAUACCAGCUGGCUGCAACUGUUUAUUAAAAACACAGCACUGUGCAAACACGAAAGUGGACGUAUACGGUGUGACGCCUGCCCGGUGCUGGAAGGUUAAUUGAUGGGGUUAGCCGUAAGGCGAAGCUCCUGAUCGAAGCCCCAGUAAACGGCGGCCGUAACUAUAACGGUCCUAAGGUAGCGAAAUUCCUUGUCGGGUAAGUUCCGACCUGCACGAAUGGCGUAAUGAUGGCCAGGCUGUCUCCACCCGAGACUCAGUGAAAUUGAACUCGCUGUGAAGAUGCAGUGUACCCGCGGCAAGACGGAAAGACCCCGUGAACCUUUACUAUAGCUUGACACUGAACAUUGAGCCUUGAUGUGUAGGAUAGGUGGGAGGCUUUGAAGUGUGGACGCCAGUCUGCAUGGAGCCAACCUUGAAAUACCACCCUUUAACGUUUGAUGUUCUAACCUAGGCCCAUAAACUGGGUCGGGGACCGUGUCUGGUGGGUAGUUUGACUGGGGCGGUCUCCUCCUAAAGAGUAACGGAGGAGCACGAAGGUUGGCUAAGCAUGGUCGGACAUCAUGCGGUUAGUGCAAAGGCAUAAGCCAGCUUGACUGCGAGAGUGACGGCUCGAGCAGGUACGAAAGUAGGUCUUAGUGAUCCGGUGGUUCUGAAUGGAAGGGCCAUCGCUCAACGGAUAAAAGGUACUCCGGGGAUAACAGGCUGAUACCGCCCAAGAGUUCAUAUCGACGGCGGUGUUUGGCACCUCGAUGUCGGCUCAUCACAUCCUGGGGCUGAAGUAGGUCCCAAGGGUAUGGCUGUUCGCCAUUUAAAGUGGUACGCGAGCUGGGUUUAGAACGUCGUGAGACAGUUCGGUCCCUAUCUGCCGUGGGCGUUGGAAGAUUGAGAGGGGUUGCUCCUAGUACGAGAGGACCGGAGUGAACGCACCACUGGUGUUCGGGUUGUCAUGCCAAUGGCAUUGCCCGGUAGCUAAGUGCGGAAGAGAUAACCGCUGAAAGCAUCUAAGCGGGAAACUUGCCUCGAGAUGAGUCUUCCCUGUCGCUUUAAGCGACCUAAAGGAACGUUUAAGACUAAGACGUUGAUAGGCUGGGUGUGUAAGCGUAGCGAUACGUUGAGCUAACCAGUACUAAUGAACCGUGAGGCUUAACCUG